CUGCCUUUCCAUACGGGAUAGGUUUCUUCUAUUUUAACCUUUUUUGUUUUUUGGCUGCACUGCUCAUCAUGCAGUAUCUGAGUUCCUUCCCCCUAUGAUGGAAGUGUAGGUCCUUAACCACUGGACCACCAGGGAUUGCUUUUGCUUCUGGUUGAGAAUGUUGUUUAUAGCCUGAAAUAUACAUAAUAGCCCAUUCUGGGCUCUGACCUUUAAAGGGUCUGGCUGACACCAAGAAGUCUGCAACACCAUCUCCCUUUUAGUAUAAAACAAGCCUGAAUUCUGACUCAGCCUCAACUUUCUCCUCUCCACUGAAAAAAAUGUAGGGGGCCGAAGGUGAGUGAGAGAGUUCGGCGACACUUCUGAGGUUGCCAGAGGUCAGAGACUUCCCAUCCAGGUUUGCUUGGGGAUUGGGACAUUCCAUGGGGACUGAAAAAG
ensembl:lncRNA